rnacentral:rRNA from 1 species
UACGGGAGGCAGCAGUGGGGAAUAUUGGACAAUGGGCGAAAGCCUGAUCCAGCCAUGCCGCGUGUGUGAAGAAGGUCUUCGGAUUGUAAAGCACUUUAAGUUGGGAGGAAGGGCAUUAACCUAAUACGUUAGUGUUUUUGACGUUACCGACAGAAUAAGCACCGGCUAACUUCGUGCCAGCAGCCGCGGUAAUACGAAGGGUGCAAGCGUUAAUCGGAAUUACUGGGCGUAAAGCGCGCGUAGGUGGUUUGUUAAGUUGAAUGUGAAAGCCCCGGGCUCAACCUGGGAACUGCAUCCAAAACUGGCAAGCUAGAGUAUGGCAGAGGGUGGUGGAAUUUUCCUGUGUAGCGGUGAAAUGCGUAGAUAUAGGAAGGAACACCAGUGGCGAAGGCGACCACCUGGGCUAAAUACUGACACUGAGGUGCGAAAGCGUGGGGAGCAAACAGGGAUUAGAUACC